UUCAGGCACAGCUACUGUUGAUGGAGUAGACAGAUCAGCAGCUAAAUGCCCUGUCCCAAUGCUGCCUCCAAGUCUGCCAGGUGUCUUUGACAUUGACAACAAACUGUCAGGGGCAGCAGCAGAGGGAACCAACAAGUGUCCAGUUGCCAGUGAAACAACCUAUGAUGUGUCCACUCACCUCAAAGAGGACAUGGCAGCUGAUCAAAGCCCUCCUGACCCUGCAGCACUGCCUCCAAGCUCACCAUGUAUCUGUGACUCUGACCACAAACUGACCAAGGAGGAAAAAGAGGAUGCCACAGAGUCCUCCCUUGCCACAGAGAUCACUGCAGGCAAUUCCAUUGUCCAGGGAGAGGACCUGGAUAAAAUCCCUGCUCCAAGGCUGCCUCCAAGCUUGUCACACAUUUUGGACAAUGACCAUAAGCAGCCAGAGGAGACGAUAGAGGGCGCCACUGAGUGCUCAGUCGCCGCAGAGGCAUCAGUUGCUAAUAGAGAGGAUCCAUCGGCAGCUAACCCUCUUCACACAGUGCUGCCUUCAAGUCUGCAACUUGUCUUUGACAAUGACUACAAAUGGCCAGCGGAGGCAGUAGAGGGCGCCAGCAAGUGUCCAGUUGCCAGUGAAUCAGCCGCUUCUGUGUCUACUGUCCUCCAAGAGGAGUUUUUGACUCAUAAAAGUCCUCCUGCUCCCGCAGCACUGCCUCUAAGGCUCCACUGCACCCACAACAAUGACCACAAACAGCCAGAGGAGACUGUUAAGAACACCACAGAGUGCUCAGUUGACAUAGAGGCAUGUGCAGUUGCAUCCACUGUCAAGAGAGAGGAACUGACAGGUGAUAAAAGUCCUGUCCAUGCACUUCCUCCAAGCCUGGAAUGCAUCCAUGACAAGGACCACAAGCAGCCAGAUCAGAAAGGGAGGGGCACUACUGUGGAGUUGGAUAUCUGCCCUCACGCUCACCAGCUGGUCUCAGAUGCUAACUUAACUCUGGCAACCCGCAAUGAUGAGCUGCCCACCCCUCUGAUCUGCGUGGUCACUAAGACGCCUGUUAGAGUGGGAGCCUCCAUAUGCAGGUCAGAGGAUGAGGAACCCAGGCCCUGGACCCUGGAAGAGGCAAAGUGUUAUUGUUAGCUAGGAGGAAGACAUGGAGGGUUCAACGCUGACACAGAGGGCUGAGUGUCAGUUGAAGGAAAG
rnacentral:lncRNA from 1 species